GCGUCCACCGGGUCGAUCGCGCGGCGCACCACGAGGUAGUCACGGAGCACGAUCGAGUGCCGGUUGUC
rnacentral:sRNA from 1 species